UAAGUAAAUUAUUAAACAAAAAAAAAUAAAAAAGUUAAAAAUAGUGAAACAAACUUUCUUUGUAGUGGGGUCUGAUUCAUUUUUCAGUUUGCAAAAACUUAAAACGUCGCUGUCAACUUUAAAGCAACACUAACGGAAAACGCAUGAAGUUGAAGGUGUUAAAACUUUGACACAACCUAAAACUAAUUUUUAUAAGCCAACAAAAUUGAGAAAAAUACAGACGAAAUGCCUGAACAGGACAAUUAUGAUGAUGAGCUGGUAUCCGGUAAUCCAAAUCAACGUAAUUGGCGUGGUAUACUCAUUGCAUUAUUGGUCAUAACAAUAGUUUUAGCUUUAAUUGUAACAUCAGUGGUACUGCUCACUCCCCCCGAUGAAGGGCCCAGAGUCAAAGGUCAACGUCUCAAAUUGCAAGAAAUUGUCGAUGGUGUAUUUAUGCCACAAAAAACCAAUGGCACCUGGGUAAAUGAAGAAGAAUUCCUUUAUCAAGAUCAUUGGGGACGCAUUUGUCUUUUGAAUGUUGCCAAUUUAACUGAACGUGUCUUAAUGUCAAAUGUUACAUUCAAAACAUUGUCACCGUAUACAUUCUCCAUAUCAGCGGAUAAACGUUAUUUAUUAUUGUCACAAAACGUUAUCAAAUUAUUCCGUUAUUCGUUUUUGGCUCAAUAUACAUUGUUUGACAUUCAAACUAGUGAAAGUAUUAAAUUGAAAAUCGAUGCCAGCGACAAUGAAUGGCCGUAUUUGCACUAUGCACGUUUUACACCCCACUUUAAUGCCAUCGUUUUAGUCUACAAUUACGACAUCUAUUACUGCCAGGGGGCGCGUUCACAAUUUGUACAUCGUAUAACGCGUGAUGCCAUACCGGGUGUUGUCUUUAAUGGAAUACCUGAUUGGUUAUAUGAAGAGGAAAUUUUAAAUGCAAAUAAUGCAAUAUGGCUAUCACAUGAUGGUCAUGUGAUGUUGUAUGCUUCGUUCAAUGAUUCAUUAGUGCAGGAACAACAUUUCGCCUGGUAUGGUACAACAAAUGCUGGAAAUCCUAAUGCUGGCCAUCAUCCAAAUGCUAAUUUGUAUCCGGAAAUAAGGUCAUUAAGAUAUCCCAAGCCGGGCACACAAAAUCCCACUGUUACACUAAGAGUUGUAGACCUUAAAGAUCCUGAAAGAAUACAUAUGCGUGAUGUACAACCACCGCAAGUCCUACAAAACGAAGAUUAUUAUAUUACCAGCGCCAGUUGGGUAAGUGAAAAUGAAGUUAGCGUGGUCUGGUUAAAUAGGCCGCAAAAUAUUUCUGUGGUAAGCGUAUGCAAAGCGCCCAUGUUUGUAUGUGUUGAGACCCAUCGUGUAAGUGGUGAUGGUCGCGGUUGGGUGGAUACAUUAACAGUGCCGCUAUUUGCUGCCAAUGGUACUUCUUACAUCUCUAUAUCGCCUUUGCGUGAUGGCAGUUCGGGCUAUUUUCGUCAUAUAGUGCACGUGCAUGUGCCCAAGAAAAGGGUAUUGCCUCUGACUCAUGGCCAGUAUGAGGUGAGACAGUUGUUGCACUGGGAUCAAACGAAUAAUUGGAUCUACUUUUUGGGUGUUCCCGAACGUUUACCCUCCCAACAACAUUUGUAUAGAGUCUCGGCUAUGCCACCCCGCCACGGUUCCCCCAUAUACGCUCCAGAUUGUUUAACCUGUCCCAUACCCAAAAACAGUGAUGGCUCUUAUGCCUAUGAAGCUCACACCAAACCACCACCUAGACUGGUUACCGCCUGGGAUGAUGACUGGGAAAACUCUGAUGAUUCCCCGGCCAUGGGACCAGCUUUACCUUUGGAACAAAAACAUCCUCGAGAAUCGAAAUUUUCUCAAGAUUCCGAUGAAUGUCUCUACAAUACCGCCAAAUUCCCACCUACUUUACAUGCUAGAUUUGUGCUUAUCGAAUGUUUGGGUCCGGCCAUACCCACCUCCAGCAUUUACAUAGUCAAUGGUGUGGAGAAAGAACGUUCAGCUAAUGGUCAUGAGAAACAUCAUUUGCCUCUGGAACUGCUUAUGGUUAUACAAAAUAAUACACGUUUAAAAGAGAAAAUGUCCAAGACAGCUAUGCCCCAGGUGAAAACAUUCCCGGUUAUGAUUUCGGGUGGCUAUCAUGCUCAAGUUAAGCUUUACUUGCCGCCCGUCCUAAGAGAAGAUGAAAUUACCCGUUAUCCCACUAUUUUGCAUGUUUACUCGGGUCCCGGUACUCAAUUGGUUACCGACAAAUGGCAUGUCGAUUGGAAUUCUUAUUUGUCGGGCAACAAGGAUUAUAUUGUUAUUGAAAUUGAUGGUCGUGGUUCUUCGGGCCAGGGUUAUCAGCUGCUGCAUGAGGUGUAUAAGCGUUUGGGUACGGUGGAAGUUUCGGAUCAAUUGGAAGUUAGUGAGUAUUUGCGUGACAAUUUGCACUUUAUCGAUAAUCGACGCAUGGGUGUUUGGGGUUGGAGUUAUGGCGGUUAUACGGCUGCAUUGGCGCUGGCGGGAGCUCAGUCGAUAUUCCAGUGUGGCAUAAGUGUUAGUCCGGUAACGAAUUGGAAGCUGUAUGACUCAACCUAUGCUGAACGCUAUUUAAGUUUUCCCAAUGUAACCGACAACUAUAAAGGCUACGAAGAGGGUGAUCUCUCCAAAUAUGUAGACAACCUAAGAGACAAACAAUUCCUAUUGAUACAUGGCACAGCCGAUGAUAAUGUGCAUCUGCAGCAGUCUAUGGUUUUAUCCAGAGCCUUAACCAAUAAGGGGGUACUAUACAAACAACAAAUCUAUCCCGAUGAGGGUCAUCAAUUAUCUGGAGUAAAGAGGCACUUAUAUCGUUCUAUGACCGCUUUCUUUGAUGAUUGUUUUAAGAAAUUGCUUGACCAACAGCAGGCUAAUCAAACCGAUUAUUCGGAUUUUUUGGAUUUUCAUAGCUUUUAUACAUAAAUUAAUAAUGCCAAACAAAAAAUACAAUGAACAAUGAAACAAACCAAAAAAAAAUAUAAAUCUCAAACAAAAAAAACAAUCUAUCUAUCAAACAAAUGACAUGAAAUGAAUCAAAAAGUAAUGAAUUGUAAAUUUAAUUUAGAAAAAAUUAUGAAAAAAAAACAAAACAAUAGAGACGAUUUAAACAUCGUUCCAAAGGUACCACCGGAAACGAAAGCUGGCCUGGGUAAUGGUGGUGAUAAUCAACAGCAAUAAAUUUUACAAAAUGUCUAUUUGUUGGUGUAAAGUAUGUAUAAGGUGUAUAGGUAAACUUAAACAAGCAAAAACAAUAUACAAUUACCAUAUAAAUAAUUUGUGUUAUAACAAAUAUAUAUAUAAGAAAACAAAAAACAAACCACAACAAUAAUAAAAGUGCUAAAAACCUAACAGCAGUUACAACCUAAACGGAAACGGAAACAUAAUCAAAUCAUACCAAAAAAACAACUUAAUCAAAUUUGCAACAACUACAAAAAAAAAUAAUAGUUUUGAAAUGUUACAACUUUUCCCAUAAUAAGAAAAACUAUAUUGUAUACAAAAAAAAACACCGAAAUACAAAAUGAAAAACAAAAACAAACAUGGUUGUGAAUAAUAAAAACAAAACUAGGAAAACCCCCCAAAAAAAAAAACAAUGCACCUAAAAAUAUGCAAUGAAUUGAAAAUUUGCAACAAUUUGCAAACAUAAAAAUAAGGAAAUAAAAACGAAACAAACACAACAACAACAACAAUAACAAAUAGCAACUUACCAAAAUAAGCAACAGCUAUACAAUAACAGCAACCACAACAGCAGCAACAACAACUGAAAAGAAUAAUAAAAAUAACUAUAACAACAACUAUGUAAUAAAAAUAAACAUGAAAGUGAAUUGAAAUAACCACACUGUAGAGCAAAAGCAAAAAAACUAACAACAACAAAA